AACGCACAUUGCGCCCCUCGGUAUCCCGGGGGGCACGCCUGUUCGAGCGUCAUUUCUACCACUCAAGCUUAGCUUGGUAUUGGGCAUCGUUUACCUUGUUUAUAAUAAAGAAGGGUCCUAACGUGCCUUAAAUAGAGACGGCGAUUUAACCCCCAGCUUAGAGUGUAGCAGUAAAACAUUUUCACUCUCAAGUCUUUUUGGGGCGCUGUCUACCGCAUAGUUUUAUUACUACAGUUUGACCUCGGAUCAGGCAGGGAUACCCGCUGAACUUAA
rnacentral:misc_RNA from 1 species